GGGGUCGUAGUGUAACCAGGUAUCACGACAGGCUCCAGACCUGUUGAUCGGGGUUCAAAUCCCCGCGACCCCA
rnacentral:tRNA from 1 species